CAGUCGCCGCGGGAAUACGUAGGUCCCGAGCGUUGUCCGGAUUUACUGGGCAUAAAGCGAGCGCAGGCGGUUAGAUAAGUCUGAAGUUAAAGGCUGUGGCUUAACCAUAGUGCGCUUUGGAAACUGUUUAACUUGGGUGCAGAAGGGGAGAGUGGAACUCCAUGUGUAGCGGUGAAAUGCGUAGAUAUAUGGAGGAACACCGGUGGCGAAAGCGGCUCUCUGGUCUGUAACUGACGCUGAGGCUCGAAAGCGUGGGGAGCAAACAGGAUUAGAUACCCCCGUAGUCCCUGUCUCUUAUACA
rnacentral:rRNA from 1 species